AUUGAACGCUGGCGGAAUGCUUUACACAUGCAAGUCGAACGAUGAACCUUAGCUUGCUAAGGGGAUUAGUGGCGAACGGGUGAGUAAUAUAUCGGAACGUGCCUUGUAAUGGGGGAUAACUAGUCGAAAGAUUAGCUAAUACCGCAUACGCCCUGAGGGGGAAAGUAGGGGAUCUUCGGACCUUACGUUAUAAGAGCGGCCGAUAUCUGAUUAGCUAGUUGGUGGGGUAAUGGCCUACCAAGGCGACGAUCAGUAGCUGGUCUGAGAGGACGACCAGCCACACUGGAACUGAGACACGGUCCAGACUCCUACGGGAGGCAGCAGUGGGGAAUUUUGGACAAUGGGCGCAAGCCUGAUCCAGCCAUUCCGCGUGAGUGAAGAAGGCCUUCGGGUUGUAAGGCUCUUUCGCAAGGGAAGAAAACUUACCAUCGAAUAAAUGGUGAGGCUGACGGUACCUUGAUAAGAAGCACCGGCUAACUACGUG
rnacentral:rRNA from 1 species